UUGGUAUUAUAUCAUUAGUAUUAUAUACAUAUGAAAAAAAUGUUAGCUAAUGUAGUCUAUACGUUUAAUUUUAUAAAAAUACAAACAUUUUUAUUUUGCUGUUAAGUGUGAGUGUUUGGAUGUGUGUUGGGUUAUACAGGGAGACUCUGAAAUUACAUUGCUGAUUUCGGAGUGCAUCUGAGGACUGUUGCAAACUAAGGGGCUUUCCUGCAGCAAUUCCUGUGAUUAUGGCCCUUUGUUGGGUCUUCUUGAUAACCUUUAAACCCCAAAUCUCUAACAGAUAUGCUUUACAUUGUGUAUCUGUGAUCUGACCAAA